rnacentral:lncRNA from 1 species
AAACAAGGGUGCCCUAAGACAAGACAAUGAAGACAGCCUCACCAAAUCCUGAGGAGUCUCCUCCUCCCGACAGGAUGAACCUGGAAGGGCUGUACCGGGAGAAAAAUGGUAACAUCAGUCCCUGUCAGGCAACAGGGGUGGGGGAUGGGUGGGUGCCUAUGGUAGGAGUGAAAAGGAAGGGGUCUUAGGGUAGAAACAACUCAGCUGACAGGCAUAGGACUGUGUGGAAGAGAAAGACAAGAACCAGGUUUCUGUUUGUGCAGGGAGGUGUCAUUCCAGGGUUUCUCCUGGUAGCUGAGGGGGAGGUGACACUCUUUUCUGUUGGCCCCAUUUCUGCACUAAUGAGAAUGCCUCGGAGAGGGAAGGUCCCCCUGAUGCCUCUGAUGAGGGAAACAAAGGCAAGAGAAAUGUAGCUUAACUUAAAUCUGCUUUCAGCUUGCAGCUCACUGACACCUGAAGCAUGCACAGCGUGACCUUCCUCCAAGAAACCAUGGCUGCCUCCAUGUCUUAAUGUUUAUAUUUUAUUAAAGAAUAGAAGUGACCUUAUCUUAACAGCAGCUAGCCCCCACCCCGCCAAGGUCCUGAAAGCCUUGCUUCAAAAUUCCUUAGAAACUUACUUAAUCUUUAUCCCCACUCCUUCCACAAACUUAAAAGUAUAUAAUCAGUCACUCCUCACAACCGCAGUGCAGCUCUUUCUGCCCACAGGUCCUGUCCCUGUGUUUUAAUAAAACCACCUUUUUGGGGGUGCCCGGGUGGCUCAGUCGGUUAAGCAUCUGACUCUUGAUUUCGGCUCAGGGCAUGAUCUCAUGGUUUGUGAGUUAAAGCCCCACACUGGGCUCUGCACUGACAGCAUGGAGCCUGCUUGGGAUUCUCUCUCUCUCUCUUCCUCUGCCCCUCUCCUGCUCACAUACUCUCUCUCUCUUAAAUUAAAUGAAUAAACUUUAACAAACAUCAUUUUUUCUGCACCAAAACAUCUCAAGAGUUCAUUCUUAGCCUUAGCUAAGCCCCAUUUCAUAAUUUCAUCACCCCUAUCCAGGAAAAGCUGGCCUGGGUGUGAAGGAGCCUUGACUGGGGAGCUGUGAGUCUCUUCCGGAAAGGCAGGGAGCAGGUUGUCUGGGUGCCAUUUAC